rnacentral:rRNA from 1 species
CGAACGGGUGCGUAACACGUGAGAAAUCUGCCCCGGACUUUGGGAUAACAGUUGGAAACGACUGCUAAUACCGAAUACCGCCGUCACCUCGCAUGGGGAGACGACGAAAGGUCCGCCGGUCCGGGAGGAUCUCACGGCCUAUCAGCUUGUUGGAGAGGUAACGGCUCACCAAGGCAUCGACGGGUAGCUGGUCUGAGAGGAUGAUCAGCCACACUGGAACUGAGACACGGUCCAG